CUAUUUUACACAUCAUUUUAUGCAGAUGCUGGAAACUGCUAACGCUAAAAAAAAGAAGAAGAAGAGAAAGAAGAAGAGGAAGAAGAGGAAGAGGAGGAAGAGGAGGAAGAGGAAGAGGAGAAGAAGAAGAAGAAGAAGAAGAAGAACAACAACAACAACAACAACAACAACAACAACAACAACUUGUGAAUGAGACAGACACAAUGAUUCUACCAAGGAUGUUGAGGGGAAACGACACACUGCUGCCUAUGCUCUCUCUGCGUGUCCUGAGUCACUGCCACAUUAUCUUAUGGGGGCAGAGGGUGCUGGCCCUCCUGAAUAACCAAAGAUAGAGAAUUAGGACAAAGGAGGGAAGAAGAGAAAACUGCAGGAAAUUCAGGUCAUGGGAGGGACAUGGCAUUGGGAAAAAGGGUACUCUUUUUAUCUGGUUCCUGCUAUUUUCCACUUUGGACCUUUUGCAGCUUCCCUUGGCUCUAGCCCCAUCCUCUCCAGUCCUGAUCUCCUAUCAGAUACACCUAUGUUCCCACAUUCUGUACCUCAGUUACACCCAAUUUCAUUCAUAUCUGGAGUGGCCCUGAUAAAUGAAAAAUUUUAAAAAGUUAUAAACACAAACAACCCCAGUUAGAGAAGGCGGUGCCUUACUCUGUUUCUCACAUUCACUUAAUUCCUUUGUUCAUUCCACAUGCAUUCACUGAAUACCCACACUGCUAAGACCUGCGGAUACACAGAUGGACAGAUACCCUCUCCAGCCUCAAGGAAGUCACGUUUUUGGUUGAGAUUGGAGAGAAAACAAGGUAUCUCUAGCCCAAGAUGCCUCAGUCCUUCAAAUGACCCUGAUCAGGAACGAAAAAAUAUGACAGUACAUUGCAGUAUAUAUUUCAUUGCCUCUCUACCCCCUUCUAAAAAGGGGAGUUUGGUUUUGCUUGUUUGCUUGCCUGUUUGCUCAGCUGCUCAGCCCUGGACCUUGUCAUACUGGUUGAAUGGACGGACAAGUGACAUAAACAAGGAAGACAAGACAAGGAAGUUAAGAGUUCGAGGCCAAUGCCACACCAACUUACGAGGGUCGGUGUGGUAUGAACAAGGAGGGGAAGCUGCGGGACUGCCAAGCUGGGCACAAGUCAAGCACUAACCGGCACCACUGCCUCCUGCUUCCUGGUGCCACUCCAGCCGGGGCUGCCCACACUGUGUCUGGCAGCUUCCAAUACUGCUUUCCUGCUGCCAUGAGACAGCAGGUCUGGCAACAGAAGUGGAGCCGGACUUAAGGAGAAAGAGGAAAGAACUUCAGCUCUGGCACCUGCAGACCCCUGAAAGUGGCCUACGGAAGCUGGCAGCAGGGACCGCAAUUGGGCAUUCUCUCACCUUUCCCUUCUCGGAGCUCCCCAAGCCUGUGGCCAGUGGGAAGAGGAUUACCUGAGAGCCAGAAGCCCUGGGUCCCAGCACUUCACUAACCUACCUUGCAUCCAUUCGGCAAAUUAUACACCCCAGCUCUCAGUUUCCCCAUCUCCAGGAUAACAGACUGGACUUGUCCAAGAAUAGCAAUCAUUCCCGAUCCAGUGCCGACGCUGGUUGCUAGAACACGUGGCUGAAGGGAUCACAUGUUGCUCAGGAUUCUGGGGCCACAUCCAGUGGUCGGGGGUGCUGUGGUUCGCGGGCAACAUCUGUCUUGGACUCAGAAUGGAACAUGGUAGACCAGGUGCCACGUCACUGACAUGCAGGAGCUAAAGGACCUUUGCACCCCUGCCCGAUGGAACAUUCUAACACUUGGAUUCUGUGGGAUGAGAUCUGACAGCCACAGGCAGAAGUUACCAACUGGGAAGCUUGUGGAUUCUUCAACGGAAACUGAGUCAGGCUGAUGAAUUACCUUUACUAAAGGAAUGAAUAACAAAAAAAAAGAAAAAGUUCUAAGUCCAAGACAUGCCAAGAAAGGUUAGAUAGAUUAGAUAAUAUUUUAAAAGCAGAGAUGUUUUGGGUGACCUGCUAUUUUGCUGUCCAGCUUGAGAUGAUGCCAAUGGCCACAG
ensembl:lncRNA